rnacentral:rRNA from 1 species
CGGACGGUGAGUAACGCGUGGAAAACCUGCCGUAUACUGGGGGAUAACACUUAGAAAUAGGUGCUAAUACCGCAUAAGCGCACAGCUUCGCAUGAAGUGGUGUGAAAAACUCUGGUGGUAUACGAUGGUUCCGCGUCUGAUUAGCUUGUUGGUGGGGUAAUGGCUCACCAAGGCGACGAUCAGUAGCCGGCCUGAGAGGGUGAACGGCCACAUUGGGACUGAGACACGGCCCAAACUCCUACGGAAGGCAGCAG